CUAGAGAAGUUAAUUGUUUUUUUAUUGUUUGGACAUUAAAAUUUCAUGAUUAUAGGGUGGAACCAAACAUUAGCUAGCUUGAUCAAAUUAUAUGGUAGAAUAUGCCAGACAUGCAUGUUUAAUGUAGAAUAAGCUAUAUAUUUUCCUGGUGAAUGGCAGAAACUGAAAACAUGUCUAUUGUCUGCUUCUUUCAGAUGUUUAUGUCUAUAUUAUUUCUUUCAAAUCAAGAACUGUACUAAUUCAUAUCCCAUUCCAUGUCAACUUCAGCAAGUACUGAUACUAGGAUUUGUGUGGAAUAUAAUUGGCUAAUAAAAUGUGAUGAGUCAGAUUUAUCCAUUCACCUUUAACUUAUGUUUGGGUCUUUGUAAUCAGCAGGGUCACUUACUGAUAGUAGGAGCAGGAGCAGCACAAGGUAGCAACUGAUCAGCUCCUCAAAGGCCAAGCUCUAGCCGAAAUGCGGAGUGCUUUGUCGGUUAAUCUGCUGGUGUACGGCUUCUGAGGAGGUGAAGAUGCUGCAUCAGAGAUGCUUGCUGACAAGGUGCACACAAAAGUCUUUUUUGCAAGUACUGAUACUAGGAUCUGUGUGGAAUGCAUGAACUUAGUAGUCACAUAGAUUUGAUUGUCAUU